rnacentral:misc_RNA from 1 species
CUGGAUAAUGAAGGUUCGGUGGAUGAUCGGGCCAAGGUGGCUCCAGAGAAAUCUCAGAUUGAAAUGAUGAAACAGAGAGUGGAUGAUCAGACUUUCUGCUCAAACAAAGAGAUUAAUACAAUUACAAACAGUCGGGUCAACAGAAACAGUAUUGGGCUGGUUGGUAUGAAUCAUUUUGGGGGAAGAAUUAACCUUCAACUUGCUAACCAGGAGAAAAGGGAUCAGGAUUUGAAGCUCAUGCUCGAUGACUUUCCAACAGAGGACAAUGAGGAAGAUUGGCAUGGGAACAUAAUGGAGCAAGUUGAGCUUUAUCACACAGAAGAAGAUGGUGAACAGGAAUGGGA